rnacentral:rRNA from 1 species
GAUGAACGCUGGCGGCGUGCCUAAUACAUGCAAGUCGAGCGAAUGGAUUAAGAGCUUGCUCUUAUGAAGUUAGCGGCGGACGGGUGAGUAACACGUGGGUAACCUGCCCAUAAGACUGGGAUAACUCCGGGAAACCGGGGCUAAUACCGGAUAAUCUUUUGAACUGCAUGGUUCAAAAUUGAAAGGCGGCUUCGGCUGUCACUUAUGGAUGGACCCGCGUCGCAUUAGCUAGUUGGUGAGGUACCGGCUCACCAAGGCAACGAUGCGUAGCCGACCUGAGAGGGUGAGCGGCCACACUGGGACUGAGACACGGCCCAGACUCCUACGGGAGGCAGCAGUAGGGAAUCUUCCGCAAUGGACGAAAGUCUGACGGAGCAACGCCGCGUGAGUGAUGAAGGCUUUCGGGUCGUAAAACUCUGUUGUUAGGGAAGAACAAGUGCUAGUUGAAUAAGCUGGCACCUUGACGGUACCUAACCAGAAAGCCACGGCUAACUACGUGCCAGCCGCCGCGGUAA